CUUAAUUACAUCAUUAUCGUUAAUCCAUUCUUAAACCCCUGAAAUCCACCUAAACAUCUCACUAAUCUCUUCCCCAAAUCCAUUACCAUUAGCUUCAACAUCAAAAUCUCCAACACCAGCAACGACGUCGUUUCGUCUACCACUUCCAGUAAAGAAUCUUCCAGAACCUCGAAACGACAUCACUCUUGUUAAACCAUCAACGUAAUCCUUCAACCAGUUACCUUCACCGAUUAAACUCGCCUGAGAAGCCACCGGAGUCUCCACCUCCACCGCAAGCACCACCGCAUCCUCUUUUUCACCGGAAAAUAUUCUCCGAUUAGUGUUUCCAACCGGAAUCUCAGCUUCCUCGUCGACGAAAUACUCAAACGCGCCGACGGAGUAAGUCCUCUGGUCAGUUUCUCCGGCGACAUUGUUAUUGUUAUUGUCAGUUGCGGUUGCUUCACGGCGGUUGCUGAUGUUGCCUAUCUCUAAACGAAAGCUGUUGUUACCGGAAGAGGUGGAGGAUGAACGGAAAAUCUUCAUAAUCUCCGAUUCCGAAGCGAAUACGGAUGAUCGACAUAACGGACAGGUUUGAUUCGACGAUAACCAAGCGUCAAUGCAUUCCGUGUGGAAUGCGUGACAGCAGAGAGGAAGAAGACGGAGGAGAUCGUUUUGCUCGAACUUUGAUAAGCAAACGGCACAGUCGCCGGAGACAACGGUGGAGGAACGGCGUUUGAUGGAUGAGAAGGUGAAAAUCGGGAGAGAAUCAACGACGGAAGAUGAAGUGGACGAAGUCGUGGUGACCGGAGAAACUCUAAAAAUGGAGGAGGAUGACGGAGAGAAACGGCGACGACGGAGGAUGAAGUAGAGAAUGAAGAAAACGGUGACGGUAACGGCGAAAACGGUUACGGUUAUGAAAAGGUUGUGUGAGGAAUUUGUGUUUCCCAUUUUCACGUUGUGUGUGUUGUUGUUACAGUGAAACUAAUUAUGAAUGAAAUAAAUGAUGACGUGGCAUGUAAUGAAAGAGAGAGAGAGGUGUUGAGGUUUGGUUGUUAUUGUUAUUGUUAUGGUGAAGUUGGUGAAAGCAUUUUGGUGUGGUUAUGAAAAACAGAACAAGUAAUUGUUGAGCAGGUUUGUUUAUGGAGAAGGACUGUCUUUGUCUUUUUCCUCAAAUGUUGUUUUGCUCAUGUUUGGUCCUAUUUCAUUCUUUUUUCCUUUGUAUUUGUUUGUAUUAUGAAAACUCAUGAAUAUUUUUUCCUUGCCAUUUGUU
rnacentral:lncRNA from 1 species